rnacentral:lncRNA from 1 species
GAGAAAGAAGAAAUUGAAACUUAAUUGAUUGAAUCUGAAUCUAUAAUAUAGAAAUAAUGCGAAUAAAAAUUAAUAACAAAGUGAUUUAAAAUUUCAAAAAUCACUCCGUAUUUAUAGACAAAAAACCCGCGUUAUUUUUCAAAUUUGAAUUUCAAAAACGCCUCGUAAAAAAUGCAGCUAUAAGGCAACUAUAGUUGUCCCAGCUGGCAGCUGUAACCUGCUGCCUUAGCAGCUAUACCUCUUUUUUUUUUCCUUCUCCCUUUAAUUUAGCUCGGGCCGAGCAUUAUUGUCACGGGCCAUUUUUGGCCCAUGACACGAGCAGGCUCGGGCCAACCUCUUAUUUUGAGGCUUGAUUGCUACGAGCCACGAACCGGGCGGGCUCGGGCUUUUCCCGAGCCAAGCCAUGAGCCGCCCGACCCACCGAGCCUUUUUGACACCGCUACGAUCACAUUUGGCACUCUGAUUGCUCCAAUCCUCAACCGUCGACUCAUCGUCAUCUGAAUCACCGUCCCAAUGAGACCAUUUAUCUAUGAACCCCAUAAAUCAUGGGUCCCAGCCAAUCCAAACCAUUCGUCCAAAAAAAAAAAAUCACCGACCAAACAAUUGAAAAUCCAUUUAAGUGAUUCAAAUAUUCGGGUAAAAACGAUUGAAUCAAAUUAUCAAUUAUCAAAACAACUUUCAUUGCCCAAUGAUCGUAACUUCUAUAGAAAUGUUGGUUGCAUCAAUUAAAUAAAAAGGAUAGGAUUUAAAUACAUACCUAUUAAUAUAAAAGAUGUCACUAGUAGCCGCAUAAAAGAUGCGAAACCUAAAAUUCGAAGACUAAAAUUGGUACUUGUUUAUUGAGAUUAAAAACUGCAUGACUGAUUUCGAGUACAAGAUCUUACAAAAAAAAAAAAGUUCGAAU